rnacentral:rRNA from 1 species
UGUGUAGGCGGAUUGCUAAGUACCUUGUGAAAUCCCACGGCUUAACCGUGGAACUGCUUGGUAUACUGGCUGUCUUGAGCCACUUAGGGGCGACCGGAACAAACGGUGGAGCGGUGAAAUGCGUAGAUAUCGUUUGGAACGCCAAAGGUGAAAACAGGUCGCUGGGAGUGUGCUGACGCUGAGACACGAAAGCCAGGGGAGCAAACG